AAACUUUACACUGCGGGAAACCGCGAUAAGGGGACCCCGAGUGCCAGCACCUAGUGCUGGCUGUCCUACUGUCUAAAUAACAGUGGUUAGCAAGGGCCGGGCAAGACCGGUGCCAGCCGCCGCGGUAAUACCCGCAGCCCAAGUGGUGAUCGUUAUUAUUGGGCUUAAAACGUCCGUAGCUGGUCUAGUAAAUUCCUGGGUAAAUCGAAUUGCU
rnacentral:rRNA from 1 species